UCCUUCAAAAUGUAAAACCAAUGAUAAAUCAUGGACAAAAUAUUCUGGUUGUGGUAGCAUUGCAGCUCAACUCUGUCUUGUUUGAAUUUCCUCUGUUUCUUGAGGGACCAAACAAAAGGCUAGUGCAAUUUUUUUCACCCCUUCUCUUUUGCCUUAGGAGCUCUACCCUCCAGAAUCUAUUUGGUAUGUUGUGUUGAAAGUAUUUUUCCGUGCUAAAUGUUUUUCCUUAGGGGAAAAUGGACUUGGAGACAAGUAAAUGAAAUUUUGGUCUGAAUCUUUGUGGAUUCAAUUCUAGUGACAGCAGUGUAAUUUAGUGAGGAAAGAUUUUGUUUAAGAAAGUUCCUUUUAGAGUAUUUAUUAUGUUAACUUGUAGGAAGAAUUGGAAGUUCUUUUUGAAGAGUAGGAAGUGAAGAGUGAUAAAUAUUUGAUCUGGAACCCAUAGGUUGAGUUACCAAAAGCAUCAACAUGCUUUGAUUCGGACUGUUAGCAUUAGUUAUAUUCAAAUGUGGUUUAGAUCUUCAUUAAAGUCUAGUUCAUGUAAUUGCAGGAGAAGAAUGAGUCCAUUUUUUAUGGUAAGGAAGAAAAUGGUUUUGAAGUGGUCGAAUUCGAACUGCCAGAGCUGGAUCUAUUCUUGGAAAAUGCUUGCUUCUUUGAAGAAGAGAAAGUGCAACUUUUUGAUGCAGUUGGAGAGGCUGAUAAUAAUGUGAUUUCCAGUCGGAGCUCAUGUGGUUGGAGCUUUCAUAAUGCCUUGCGGUAGCUGUUUCUUCUGUAAUAAGGGUCAAGAUGACUUAUGCGAGGAUUUCUUCGCUUCUAACCGUGCAAAAGGAACCCUUUAUGACGGAGAAACCCGCUUGUUCCUCCGCAACAGUGGCAUGUUGAUUUCUCGACAGAGUAGUUUUAGUUACUCGUCAUAUAAGUGCUGGCCUCUUCUUACAUGUGAAACUCAACAGGGUUGAGUGGCCUCUUCUAAAGCCAAAUCUUCUGUCCUGUUUGGUUGCUGAGAAAGUGGGGGGAAAAAGUAAAGAAAAUGAAUUUUUUGAGUCCUACUGGAUACUGUCAUUUCUGGGUUUUGUUGUAUAUUAUUUAUGUAGUUGAUGAAUUCGUUGAUUGUUGAAAGGUCUGACAUGAUUGUAUUUUUAUCAAAAUUAUAUAUACAAUUUUGACUGAUAGCAA